rnacentral:rRNA from 1 species
GACGAACGCUGGCGGCGUGCUUAACACAUGCAAGUCGAACGGAAAGGCCCUGCUUUUGUGGGGUGCUCGAGUGGCGAACGGGUGAGUAACACGUGAGUAACCUGCCCUUGACUUUGGGAUAACUUCGGGAAACUGGGGCUAAUACCGGAUAGGAGCUCCUGCUGCAUGGUGGGGGUUGGAAAGUUUCGGCGGUUGGGGAUGGACUCGCGGCUUAUCAGCUUGUUGGUGGGGUAGUGGCUUACCAAGGCUUUGACGGGUAGCCGGCCUGAGAGGGUGACCGGCCACAUUGGGACUGAGAUACGGCCCAGACUCCUACGGGAGGCAGCAGUGGGGAAUAUUGCACAAUGGGCGGAAGCCUGAUGCAGCAACGCCGCGUGCGGGAUGACGGCCUUCGGGUUGUAAACCGCUUUCGCCUGUGACGAAGCGUGAGUGACGGUAAUGGGUAAAGAAGCACCGGCUAACUACGUGCCAGCAGCCGCGGUGAUACGUAGGGUGCGAGCGUUGUCCGGAUUUAUUGGGCGUAAAGGGCUCGUAGGUGGUUGAUCGCGUCGGAAGUGUAAUCUUGGGGCUUAACCCUGAGCGUGCUUUCGAUACGGGUUGACUUGAGGAAGGUAGGGGAGAAUGGAAUUCCUGGUGGAGCGGUGGAAUGCGCAGAUAUCAGGAGGAACACCAGUGGCGAAGGCGGUUCUCUGGGCCUUUCCUGACGCUGAGGAGCGAAAGCGUGGGGAGCGAACAGGCUUAGAUACCCUGGUAGUCCACGCUGUAAACGGUGGGUACUAGGUGUGGGGUCCAUUCCACGGGUUCCGUGCCGUAGCUAACGCUUUAAGUACCCCGCCUGGGGAGUACGGCCGCAAGGCUAAAACUCAAAGGAAUUGACGGGGCCCCGCACAAGCGGCGGAGCAUGCGGAUUAAUUCGAUGCAACGCGUAGAACCUUACCUGGGUUUGACAUGGAUCGGGAGUGCUCAGAGAUGGGUGUGCCUCUUUUGGGGUCGGUUCACAGGUGGUGCAUGCCUGUCGUCAGCUCGUGUCGUGAGAUGUUGGGUUAAGUCCCGCAACGAGCGCAACCCUUGUUCACUGUUGCCAGCACGUUAUGGUGGGGACUCAGUGGAGACCGCCGGGGUCAACUCGGAGGAAGGUGGGGAUGACGUCAAGUCCUCAUGCCCCUUAUGUCCAGGGCUUCACGCAUGCUACAAUGGCUGGUACAGAGAGUGGCGAGCCUGUGAGGGUGAGCGAAUCUCGGAAAGCCGGUCUCAGUUCGGAUUGGGGUCUGCAACUCGACCUCAUGAAGUCGGAGUCGCUAGUAAUCGCAGAUCAGCAACGCUGCGGUGAAUACGUUCCCGGGGCU